GAGGAUUCUUGGUAAUUCUCUAAUUGUGCUUCUAAUUGCUUUCUAAUUAUCUUUGUUCUUCAAUAUUAUGAAUAUGACUUUGUUCUACUUCAAUAUAUUGCUUAUGACUUUGCUCUACUUGCUUAUAUUCAAGAUUAUAUUGUUCUUAGUUUAUCAUAGUUAUGUACUUGGCUUAGUUAGAUUCGAUCUAUAUACAUGCUU
rnacentral:lncRNA from 1 species